rnacentral:lncRNA from 1 species
GUUUAAUUUGACAUGUAUAACCAGGUCAGAAUGAACAAUGUGUUCUUUUACUGAGUAGUAGUUUUCAAAAGUUUGGAAAACACUGCUUAAAAGGACAUUGUACAUGGAUGUAAUAUUACAAAGGCUUUUUUUUAAUUGCAAUAAUUUUAUAGCUCUUUCAUUUAACAAAACCGAAUCUAUGCCUACCACAUGUUUGGCACUCAAAAUAGAACAGUACAUAAGAUGGAAAAGGUCUCUUCUUUCCUGGGAUGAAUAUUUAGAGAGGAAUUAUGUGUUAGUGAAUCAUAUAAUUAACUCAUUGUCUUCACAAGUGGCACAAAGAAAACAAAUCCAAGAAUUAUGAGAGUGAAUGAUAUGAGGAUCUGACAGAUUUGGAGUAUGUCAGGAAAUUCUUAGGUAAGUGAUCUUUCAGCUGAGAUCUGAAAGAUGAGUCAGUGUGAACCAAGCUUAGCCUCGGAAACUUUAAACAUUUUACCACAACUCUUUGAUUUUUCCAAUUUAUCCAUUGGUACCUCAAAGUAUUUCAUGGUUUCACUUGGACUCUGGAAGAGCCUAUCUUGACACAGAUCACUUUCUGUGUUUAUGAUACAGUCUCAAAACUUUCUUCAUUCUUCCUUUUCCCUGACCAAUUUCUGCUUUGAAGUGCCUACUCAUGGACAAAGGACCAUAAAGUCAUUGUCAGUGACACUUCUCAGUGAGUUUCUGGAAGAGGUAAGGAAAGGCUUUGGCAUUGAUGGAAGGAAUGGCUGCUGAACCACUGGGCAUGUAAUGAACAACUGGGAACUUGUCCUGCCUUCAUCCAUUUAUGGGAAAGAAAAGGCUAUAUGAUACUCAUUUUGCUUCCCAGAAGACCCAUUCCAACUCUACCAAUUCAGAUGAUCCCUUUUCCAAGUCUGAAUGUGUGUGAAAUAUAUUAUUAAGCAAACUAGGAGCUGUCACAUUACCAAACCAGAUGCAUUCUUUGGACCAAGGAUCUCUGCAUUUUGACCAGAAAUUACACACAGAUUCUAAACUAUGAUAGUGUGGUCCUCCACUCAACUCCAGAAGAAGUGGAAAAAUAAAAUAAAGGCAAGUCUAGUAAAAUCAAUACAUACAAAGCAUGAUCACAAACUAUGGUGAAUGCUUAAAUUAAAAUUUUAAAAUAUUUAUUACAGUAAAAUUAUCACUACAGUAUCAUUAAUCUCCCUCAAAAUAGUCCCCUUCACUUUGAACUCACAUAUCCCAUGGCUCUUGCCAUUUUUCUGAAGCAUUUCUGGAAGUCUUCUUUCAUGAGAGUUGUAAGGGGGCUGCCCAAGCAUCCUGAAUUGACUCAAAAUGUUUAGCACAUUUUUUGUCAAAUAAAAACAUUAUGAUAUGUGGUCAUCUGUCCUAUACACCAGAUCUGGCACUGUGAAAUAUCUGGCUCUUCCCCAAAAUAAAAGGAUCAUGAAAAAUAAGUCUUUAGUCAUUCAGGACUUUGAGGCAAACUUCACAGAGCAACUAAAAGACAUUCAGGAAAAAGGACUUCCAGAAGUGCUUCAGAAUGUGGCAAGAAGGAUGCGAUAAGUAAGUUCCAAGGGAAGGGAGUAUUUGAGGGGGAUUAAUAGAAAUGUGUCUAUCAGCAUAAUAAUUUUUUAUUUAAACAUUCAUUGCAGUUUUGAUCACACUCCCUAAAUCAAUAAAUAACAUUCCUACUUUGCUUCUUCUCACUUUGGGGAUAUUCAAAGUUGGUAAAGAAAUUUUUUUCACUGAGUUGUUAAGCUUUCAGACAAAAAGAACUAUGGGGGAAAUUUUAAAAUUGCUUACUAUGGGGAGUGUGACACCUCUCUUCUACUUCCUACUGUCUCCUAGACACCUUAGUGAAGUCUAUGUAGCUCACUAAUACCUCUGUGUGAAUGCAUUCUUCAUGUGAAAAUGAAAAGAUUUUGAAUUUAGUGUCUCAGUCAUUGCAAAAUGAAAACAGAGACAUAAUUAGAAAAUGAAAGUGUCAAAAUGGAAAACUAUCGUAUUUUCUUCUACAGCAACAUCAAGAUAGAGAUUUCACUUGACUUUUUGUUUUACUUACAAGAAGCAGUGGUAUAAAUAGCCUAUGUCAGCUAGUUUAAGUCAAAGGUCAGUGGAUAUUUUUUGUUAAGGGUCAGACAGUAAAUCUUUUAGGUCUGCAGACCAGAUAAACUGUGUUGGAACUACUCAAGUCUGCUGUAGUAGUGAGAAAGCAGCCAUGAGCAAUGUAAAAAUAAAUGAUAGUAGCUGUGUUCCAAUAAAACAUUAUUUAUAAAAAUAGGAGGUGGAGUGGAUUUGGCCUGUGGGCUUUUAGUUUGCUAAUCCUCAUAUAAAAAUGUAAAACUUUAAUUAUCUACACCAAUGUUAUUCUUUCCAGAUUAUUGUUACUUUACAAAGCAAUUAUUGUAAUUUUUUGUGGUUUGCAAAUAUCUCAG